rnacentral:Y_RNA from 1 species
GGCUGGUCUGAGUGCAGUGGUGUUUACAACUAAUUGAUCACGACCAGUUAUAGAUUUCCCUGUUCCGUCUCCACUCCCCCUGCUUUACUAGGCUAGCUUAAA